UAUGAGGAGGUAGUGGUGUAAAAGAUUAGAUAAGACUCACUCUUGUAUUUUUUUCUCACAAAUCCUAAAGUUGAAACCCUAGAACCCAUAGCUCACACCUGAGAGGAAGAACACUUCCUUUGUUUCUCAUGCAUGGAAGCCCAACCCACUCUCAACUUUUCACAUUCCUACUCUCAAGUUUCUCAUGCCAAAAAUUACUUUUAAUCUCAUACAAAACUGAUCCCCUUUUAAGGUUGGCAUCCCAUACA
rnacentral:lncRNA from 1 species